rnacentral:rRNA from 1 species
UGCCAGACUCCUACGGGAGGCAGCAGUGGGGAAUAUUGCACAAUGGGGGAAACCCUGAUGCAGCGACGCCGCGUGAGUGAAGAAGUAUUUCGGUAUGUAAAGCUCUAUCAGCAGGGAAGAAAAUGACGGUACCUGAUUAAGAAGCCCCGGCUAACUACGUGCCGGCAGCCGCGGUAAUACGUAGGGGGCAAGCGUUAUCCGGAUUUACUGGGUGUAAAGGGAGCGUAGACGGCAGCACAAGUCUGGAGUGAAAUGCCGGGGCUUAACCCCGGAACUGCUCUGGAAACUGUGAAGCUGGAGUGCAGGAGAGGUAAGCGGAAUUCCUGGUGUAGCGGUGAAAUGCGUAGAUAUCAGGAGGAACACCGGCGGCGAAGGCGGCUUACUGGACUGUAACUGACGUUGAGGCUCGAAGGCGUGGGGAGCAAACAGGAUUAGAUACCCUGGUA